UGCUUUUCUAUGGAUAUCUUUAAUGAAAAAAUAAAAACUGUGUUCUUCACUAUCAAAUCUUCGUGAAGAUACACGAAAAUAAACAGUAUUUCUCACUGAAAUAAUAUUUCCAGAUUAGUGGUGAAGUCUGUUGAUUUAAUUUAUAUUUUUUAGACUUCUUGUGUUAGGCUAUUCAUGCAUUUCUAUAAAGAAAUACCCGAGGCUGAGUAAUUUAUAAAGAAAAAAAUGUUUAAUUGGCUUAUGUUUCUACAGGCUGUCAUAGCUCUGGCAUCAGCUUCCGUGGAGGUCUCCGAAAACUUAAAAUCAUGGUGGAAGGUAAAGCGGAAGCAGGCACUUGACAUGGCAAAAGCAGGAGCAAGAGAGAGAAAGAGUUGUCGGGGAGGUGCUACGCACUAUUUUUUUUUUUUUUUUUUUUGUGAGACGAAGUCUCGUUCUGUCGCCCAGGCUGGAGUGCAGUGGCGCCAUCUCAGCUCACUGCAAGCUCCGCCUCCCGGGUUCACGCCAUUCUCCUGCCUCAGCCUCCUGAUAGCUGGGACUACAGGUGCCCGCCACCACGCCCGGCUAAUUUUUUUGUAUUUUUAGUAGAGACGGGGUUUCGCCAUGUUAGCCAGGAUGGUCUCAAUCUGACCUCGUGAUCCGCCCACCUCGGCCUCCCAAAGUGGUGGGAUUACAGGUGUGAGCCACCUCCCCGGCUGGUGCUACACACUUUUAAAUGACCGGAUCUGUGAACUCAGAGCAAGAGCUCUCCUAUCACCAAAGGAAUGGCUCAAGCCAUUCAUGAAGAUCUGCCCCCACGAUCCAAACACUUCCCACUAGGCCCCAUCUCCAGCACUGAGGAUUCCAUCUCAACAUGACAUCUGAGUGAAAAAAAUUAAUCUAUAGAGAGGAUAAUCACACAAGGUUAUACAAGUGGUUCAUAGAAGUGGCUCAUAAGCAGAAGGGACUCACCUUAUCUCAGAUAAGACGCUGGACUUGGACUUUUGUUAAUGCUGGAAUGAGUUAAGCCUUUGGGUUACUGUUGAGAAGGGAUAAUUGUAUUUUAAAAUGUGAGAAGGACAUGAGAUUUGGGAGGGGUCGGGGCAAAAUGAUAUUGUUUGUUUCUGUGUCCCCAACCAAAUCUCAUGUUGAAUUGUAAUCCCCAUGUGUCAGGGCUGGGACCUGGAGGGAGGAGAUCAGAUCAUGGGAGCAGAUUCCCCCAUGCUGCUCUUGUGAUAGUGAGUGAGUUUUCACAAGUUCUGAUGAUUUAAAAAUGUGGCACUUCCCCCGCUCUCUUCUGCUGCCUUGUGAAGAAGGUGCUUGCUUCUCCUUCACCUUCUGUCAUGAUUGUAAGUUUCCUGAGGCCACCCUAGCCAAGCAGAAAUGUGAGUCAAUUAAAUAUAUUUUCGUUAUAAAUUACCCAUUCUCAGAUAGUUCUUUAUAGCAGUGUGAAAACAGACUAAUGCAAUCAUUAUCAAGUAUUCUGUACUGUAUGUAAUUGAAUGUGACAUCACUUUUGUACAACUGGCAAUACAAUAAGCUUGAUUUCACUAACAUCACCACAAAAAUGUGAGUUUUUCAUUGUAUUGUGAUGUUACAAUGUCUACGAUGUCACUAGGCUAUAAGGACAUUUUAGGUCCAUUGAAAUCUUAUGGGGCCACCAUCGUAUAUGUGUUCAAUCACUAAUUGAACGUUUUUAUAUGGCAUAUGACUGUAUAGGUCAAACAUUAUCAAAUUGUAUACCUUAAAUAUGUGUAGUUUAUUGUAUUUCAAUUUUAUCUCAAUAAAACCACUUUAAAAUAUCCAUACUGUAAGGACUCAUCACCCCAUAACAAAACAAUGUUUCAAGAAUUAUGUAGAACAGUUUAUUUUUAAAAACCCACCAUCAUACAGAAAAAAAGAAAUCCAUACAGUAUAAAAAGAGUCUUCUCUCUUGAUCAUACUUAUGGCCAAGUUAUCAUCAGUUGUUUUUAUGGGGUACAUUUUUGUCUAAGUGUGCCACAUAUUAUGCUUACACAAAGAUAUCUGGUUUGUGGGACAACUCAUCUGUCCAUUUAUAGUUCUUAAUAAUCAUCUGCACUGUAACAAAAAGUAAUCCUAGUAAUGCUUAGUACAUUUCUCUUAAUAGUGAACAAAUGUCAACAAAAUUUACAUUCAAGGUAAUAUUGCUCCUUUGUCCUAUGGAAUAUGUACUGAGAAAAAAUAUGGAUUUCCAGCUAUCACCCUAUAUAAAUGAAAAGUUGUAGGCUCAUAAGUUAUUCAAAUUUCAAUUAUUCCCCCAUAAAAUAAAUGACUAGUCAUAAACAAAUUCAAAUAUUUAGCUCAAAUUUUUUGAUUACAUUAAUUUAUAUAAUAAAACACACCAAUUAAAAAUGAUUUUGGACAACAAAACUCGAGAUAGUCUUAAGCUAAAUAACAGAUUACAUUACUUUAUAUACAGCAUCUUCUUAUUUUUGUGAAUUUAUAUAUGUCAAAAUGAUGCACAGAUUAUUAUUCUGUAUCUAAUUAUGUAGUCUAAAUAUUUUAAAAUUUGGCUAAAAUACAGGAAAAAGUGACCAGUUUCUCAUAAAUGUGUUUAAUGUGUACUUCCUAAUAGCCUUGGUUUCUUAUAUUAUCAAAGCUCUUAUACAUCGACAAGUAGAUAAAUGUAGAACCCAGUAUACACUUAUAACAUGACUGCAGAGGGCCUAGAAAGUUGUCUCCUAUACUAAAAAUCAUGAAACAUAAUAAUAACAGCAACAGCAGUGGCAAAAACAUAUUGCUAUCUCCACAUCACCAACCUUCUAUCCACUAUGAAUUGUUCAUGUAACUUGAUUCUAUAGCAUUUACUUCUAUCAACAAGUAAUUAACAAAGAGGAAAAUUUUUCUCAUUUUAAAAUAAAAAUAAUUUUCAGAAGAGUUACAUGUCAUUAAAACAAUUGUAUAAUAUAGUUUAUCCAAUUACACUUAUUGAAACAUUUAGUGGGUACUCACUCUAUGCAUGCCACUAUGCUGGGGCCAGAGAUACGAGGAUAAAUAUGUUGCAUUUUUUGCCCUUAAAGUUAUUAUGAUCUUCUAUAGGAAAUAGAGAAAAAUUGAUCAAUUAUUAUAUACAGCAGCAGUCUCCAACCUUUUUGUCAUCAGGGACCAGUUUGUAGAAGAUAAUUUUUCCAUGGACCAAGGCAUAGAUGGUUUGGGGAUAAAACAGUGCCACCUCAGAUCAUCAGGCAUUAGAUUCUCAUAAGGAGUGUGCAACCUAGAUCCCGCACAUCUGUGGUUCACAAUAGUGUUGUUAGAGCUCCUAUGAGAAUCUAAUGCAGCUACUGAUCUGACAGGAGGCGGAGCUUAGGCGGUAAUGCUGUCUAACCCACUGCUCACCUCCCACUGUGUGGCCCAGUCACCAACUGGUACCAGGGGUUUAGGGACCCCUGAUAUAUGGCGUUUGCAAGUAGUAUAAAAAUACACAUGAUAGCCCUUUACCCAAGAUAGUGUGCUAGUGUGUGUGUGUGUGUGAGUGUGUGUGUGUAUGUGUGUGUGUGUGAGAGAGAGGAUAGAAUUAGAAAUGAGAACAGGUUCAGGGGAGGCCUCUUCAAGAAUAAGUGAGAUUGCUCUUGAAAUAAAUUUUGAAGGAUAACUAAGAGUUGAUGAAGCAAAGGAAGGUAGGCCAGUAUUCACAUGCUAGGAAACAACCCAUUUAGAGGCUCAAGGAAAGCUUGCACAUUCAGGAGCCUGCAAAUUGUUGACUAUGACUAGAAUGUAGAGUGUAAAGAAGAAAGUGGCAGUAGAGAGAAAUAAAGGUGAGAUGCAGAGAAUUAAAAUCAUCAUGACCUUGUAUUGUGUGUUAAAAAGUUAAGACAUCAUCCUGAUCAUAUUUUUUCCCUCUAAUAAUUUUAGCUAAGAGUAGUCAUUACGAAAAAGAAGACUUUUAUGACUUUUAUGGGGAGAAUGAGGACAGCACUAACAUUUAUUGAAGACCUGUUUUGUCUGAUGGUUAGGAAGAGUCUGACUCCAUGUUUUAUAUUUGACUGCACAGCAUUUAGGCUCCUACCCUGCCCUGCCCAAACACUAUAUAUCUGGUACUAUAGACAAAUAAACCUGCAUGCCUUUUGAGAUUUUGGGUCCUGUGGAAAUUUGAACUUCACAGCCCCAGACUGAAUGUGAGAACUCCUCUCCAGCCCCACUCUCUCGCCAUUACAAAAGUCAAACCAACUCUCUGCUCAUUGUUCUUGCCGUUCUAGCCAGAUCAGCUUGCAGUUACCUUGCUCUAUGUACAAUUUCCUGAUGUGAAUAAUAAACUCCUUGCAAAUUAUCAAGGUGUGUGAAGUGUCGUCAGUCUGGAUAUGUGGCCUAUUAACUG
rnacentral:lncRNA from 10 species